rnacentral:rRNA from 1 species
UGUUCCUACGGGGGGCAGCAGUGGGGAAUAUUGGGCAAUGGGCGCAAGCCUGACCCAGCAACGCCGCGUGAAGGAAGAAGGCUUUCGGGUUGUAAACUUCUUUUAAGAGGGAAGAGUAGAAGACGGUACCUCUUGAAUAAGCCACGGCUAACUACGUGCCAGCAGCCGCGGUAAUACGUAGGUGGCAAGCGUUGUCCGGAUUUACUGGGUGUAAAGGGCGUGUAGCCGGGAAGGCAAGUCAGAUGUGAAAUCCGGAGGCUCAACCUCCGAAUUGCAUUUGAAACUGUUUUUCUUGAGUACUGGAG